rnacentral:rRNA from 1 species
UACGAAGGUCCCAAGCGUUAUCCGGAUUUAUUGGGUUUAAAGGGUGCGUAGGCGGGUUGUUAAGUCAGUGGUGAAAGCUCCAUGCCUAACAUGGAAAUUGCCAUUGAUACUGUUAAACUUGAAUUAUUAGGAAGUAACUAGAAUAUGUAGUGUAGCGGUGAAAUGCUUAGAGAUUACAUGGAAUACCAAUUGCGAAGGCAGGUUACUACUAAUGGAUUGACGCUGAUGGACGAAAGCGUGGGUAGCGAACAGG